CAGCUAGUUGGCGGGGUAAUGGCCCACCAAGGCGAUGAUCGGUAUCCGGCCUGAGAGGGCGCACGGACACACUGGAACUGAAACACGGUCCAGACUCCUACGGGAGGCAGCAGUGGGGAAUUUUGCGCAAUGGGGGAAACCCUGACGCAGCAACGCCGCGUGGAGGAUGAAAUCCCUUGGGAUGUAAACUCCUUUCGAUAGGGAAGAUAAUGACGGUACCUAUAGAAGAAGCCCCGGCUAACUUCGUGCCAGCAGCCGCGGUAAUACGAGGGGGGCAAGCGUUGUUCGGAAUUAUUGGGCGUAAAGGGUGCGUAGGCGGUUUGACAAGUCUUAUGUGAAAUCUUCGGGCUCAACCCGAAGUCUGCAUAGGAAACUGUCGGGCUUGAGUAUGGGAGAGGUGAGUGGAAUUUCCGGUGUAGCGGUGAAAUGCGUAGAUAUCGGAAGGAACACCUGUGGCGAAAGCGGCUCACUGGACCAUAACUGACGCUGAGGCACGAAAGCUAGGGGAGCAAACAGGAUUAGAUACCCUGGUAGUCCUAGCCCUAAACGAUGAUUGCUUGAUGUGGCAGGUACCCAAUCCUGCCGUGUCGAAGCUAACGCGAUAAGCAAUCCGCCUGGGGAGUACGGUCGCAAGGCUGAAACUCAAAGGAAU
rnacentral:rRNA from 1 species